GACGAACGCUGGCGGCGUGCCUAACACAUGCAAGUCGAGCGGACAGGGACCCUUCGGGGGCCAUGUUAGCGGCGGACGGGUGAGUAACGCGUGAACAAUCUGUCCCAGUCGGGGGGAUAACACUUGGAAACAGGUGCUAAUACCGCAUAAGACCACGGUGCCGCAUGGCGCUGAGGUAAAAGGAGCAAUCCGGAUUGGGGUGAGUUCGCGUCCCAUUAGCUAGUUGGUGAGGUAAAGGCUCACCAAGGCGACGAUGGGUAGCCGACCUGAGAGGGUGAUCGGCCACACUGGAACUGAGAAACGGUCCAGACUCCUACGGGAGGCAGCAGUGGGGAAUAUUGGGCAAUGGGGGAAACCCUGACCCAGCAACGCCGCGUGAGGGAAGAAGGCUUUCGGGUCGUAAACCUCUGUCCCAUGGGAAGAGAAAGAGACGGUACCAUGGGAGGAAGCCCCGGCUAACUACGUGCCAGCAGCCGCGGUAAUACGUAGGGGGCGAGCGUUGUCCGGAAUGACUGGGCGUAAAGGGCGUGUAGGCGGUCUGUUAAGUUUGGAGUGAAAGUCCCGUUUUCAAGAUGGGAAUUGCUUUGAAAACUGGCGGACUUGAGUGUGGGAGAGGAUAGCGGAAUUCCCGGUGUAGCGGUGAAAUGCGUAGAGAUCGGGAGGAACACCAGUGGCGAAGGCGGCUAUCUGGACCAAGACUGACGCUGAGGCGCGAAAGCGUGGGUAGCAAACAGGAUUAGAUACCCUGGUAGUCCACGCUGUAAACGAUGGAUGCUAGGUGUAGGAGGUAUCGACCCCUUCUGUGCCGGAGUAAACACAAUAAGCAUCCCGCCUGGGGAGUACGGCCGCAAGGUUG
rnacentral:rRNA from 1 species